AUUUUGAUUAUAUAUGUUAAAAAUGAUUAAAGUAGAUACUAUAGAUGAUAUGAACAAACUUCAGCACUUCGUGGAAAGUCUCCUUUUGGAGAACUGCAGAAUAAGGCAGAAGGCAAGGAGCUUUUAUAGGAUAAGGAAUAAGGAAGAGAUUAAUAAAAAAGGUCUGGUUAGCUGGGGUCACAGAGUCAGUCUUGUUUGGGAGGAGAAGGUCUAGAGCUCACUUGGCCUUUGGGGACUGGCUGGCCGAAUAUACUGCACUUCUGGUGAAGCGGAGCAUUUACAGGGACACAGAAGUUCCCCAAGUACUUUCACUCGCUGAUGUGGCACCCUGGAUAAUAUUAUAGCAGCUUCAUCUUGGGCCUAGAAGUUUAUUUCUCUCUGUACAACUAAAUAUAAAAAUACAUAUA
rnacentral:lncRNA from 1 species